ACGUGGGUGUGGCUUCAUUCCCCUCUACCCGGUGGGAGGAGGAAAGAUAAAGGCCGGAGGUGGGGUAGCUGACCCGAGGGUGCGGCUUGUUUCUCCUUCCUGGUUGGGUCCUACUUGGGGCCUUCCCCGUUUGGAUAACGAUGCUGGUUAUCCAUCGGACGAGAGGCUGGAGGUUUUGAAAAACACGUGAAGCUGAAAGGACCCGGCAGUCUGUCAGAGUCCUUUCAAUAGUAGAACAUCGAGGUACUUCGUUCAUUCGGUACCCUGCAUUGCUGGUCUGUAUUAUGAGAGGAGGAGGAGGAGAGGAAGAGGAACACAGUACUAGGAAAGGGUAUGGAAUAUUGGAGACAAUAGCCUCAAUCCUGGUCCAAGUAACAUCCAAUAUGGAAAAACCAGUUCUAACAGCCUCAGUUGGCAAGAAUAAGUGAGGAAAAUAAAGAAUACAAAAAGAACAUUCUGUCUCAAGCUUCCAUCCUCUGUUCCCUUCUUCUUCUGUACACAGUCAUAAUCCUAAGUAUCUACUGGAUCCACGUCUUGUGUUUACAGAGCCUGUUAACAUUUACUGAGAAUGGCUCACAGUAGAAAAGUAAAUAGGAGGCAGCAUUACAACUUGGCAUAACUUGCUAGCAUGGUCUGGAGACAAUUACAGAAGUUACUGAAUAGAUCCUUACACCAUAGAUUGUAUAACUAUUGGUGAGGAUGAUCAUUGAAGUCAAACAGCUUCCAAAACUGGAGGAAAGAAUCCACACUGUAGCCUAAGAGCUGGCCCAACCACUGUCACCUGUGUUUGUUUUUUACUUCACCUGUCAUGAGCUUGUAUGCAUAAGAAAGAGGCUGCGGCUGCGUUAAAGAGCUUCUGUCCUUUCAGUAUUUAAGAGCUGCCAUGAAAGAGAGCUACAGCAGAGUCGAGAAUUGCAAGUGUACCCCAUGAAAAUGCAGACAGCAGUGAUCGUGAAUACUGCUAGGAACACCUGCCACCAUCGUGGAUUCUUGAUUUGUCCUGUGAAUGAAACUUGUUGCAGUGGUAUUAAACCUUGUAGACUGUGUUAACCUUACACUUUGAAAUAAAAGACCAACAAACAUCUCAAGUAAAAAAGAUAUGUCUGUAUCAAGAGGAAGAAGAUUGUGAGUUUACUGCCUAAAUUCCAGAGGAAAGCCACCAAAAUGUCUGCCUAAUCUUUACGCUGAACAGCAAAGUUACGUUGUUACAGUUCACCAUCCCUUGCUUCUCUUUUUAGCUUCCCCUAACAUAUUUUUGGACCAUCUUCCAGGACCCAGGUUUUGUAUCUUUGAUGUAUACCAUCUCUUCCUCCUACUACACUAAACCCGGGAUGGUUUCACCUAUCAAGACAGAACAAAGUUCAGAUAAAAAAUCAAGUGAAGCUGUUUGCUUCCGACUCCACUUGGCUCUGCUCCUCCUUAACUGACAUUUGUGUCCAGCACAAUCUCUCUCUCUCUCUCAAAAUUUAUUCAUUCGUAAGUCAGAGUUACACAAAGGAGA